CCUACGGGAGGCAGCAGUGGGGAAUUUUCCGCAAUGGGCGAAAGCCUGACGGAGCAACGCCGCGUGAGGGAUGAAGGCCUCUGGGCUGUAAACCUCUUUUAUCAAGGAAGAAGAUCUGACGGUACUUGAUGAAUAAGCCACGGCUAAUUCCGUGCCAGCAGCCGCGGUAAUACGGGAGUGGCAAGCGUUAUCCGGAAUUAUUGGGCGUAAAGCGUCCGCAGGCGGCCCUUCAAGUCUGCUGUUAAAAAGUGGAGCUUAACUCCAUCAUGGCAGUGGAAACUGUUGGGCUUGAGUGUGGUAGGGGCAGAGGGAAUUCCCGGUGUAGCGGUGAAAUGCGUAGAUAUCGGGAAGAACACCAGUGGCGAAGGCGCUCUGCUGGGCCAUCACUGACGCUCAUGGACGAAAGCCAGGGGAGCGAAAGGGAUUAGAUACCCCUGUAGUCCUGGCCGUAAACGAUGAACACUAGGUGUCGGGGGAAUCGACCCCCUCGGUGUCGUAGCCAACGCGUUAAGUGUUCCGCCUGGGGAGUACGCACGCAAGUGUGAAACUCAAAUGAAUUGACGG
rnacentral:rRNA from 1 species